AUGCCUUACAAGCUUAGCCAGUGUGAGGUGCAGCUGGUGGAGUCUGGGGGAGGCUUGGUCCAGCCUGGGGGGUCCCUGAGACUCUCCUGUGCAGCCUCCGGAUUCACCUUCAGCAGCUAUGCCAUGAGCUGGGUCCGCCAGGCUCCAGGGAAGGGGCUGGAGUGGGUCACAGCCAUCAGUAGUCCUAGUGGUAGCAGCACAUACUACGCAGACGCCGUGAAGGGCCGAUUCACCAUCUCCAGAGACAACGGCAAGAACACGCUGUCUCUGCAAAUGAACAGUCUGAGAGCCGAGGACACGGCCCUGUACUACUGUUCGAGAGACACAGUGAGGGGACAUCAGUGUGAGCCCAGACACAAACCUCCUGCGGGGACGCGCGGGGACGCCAGGGGGCGCCCAAGACACGGGAGCAGAGUCAGCCCAGGGCAG